CUGAACACAGCAGAGACCAAGCUGGUGACUGCCAUGGAUAGCCCUGUAUCCAGACUGGCAUUUCACUGUUCCUAGGAAUUUCAUCCUCCAGCUGGUCUGGGGGUUGGACAACUGGCACGACAAGGAGUGGCUGCUUGAAUGCAGUAAUGCAUUCCAAGUCUAAAAUUGUUCCCAGGCCAAGUGUGGGGAGAUGGCCAAGUGGAGGAAUAACUCCAGCCUUGGGCAAUCUUCACAGUUUGGCUGGGAUUUUCAGAGAACUGUAGAGAUGGAUUUUUCCUGAGAACUGAUGGCACCAUCUUUUCCUUGGUGUGUUUGCACUUAGUAGUCAGGUUUUAGAAAGCUUGAGCUAGUUCUCUCUGAAACCGUUUUGGCCUUGGUUGGGUGAGGAGGUGUCUGCAAGGAGCAGUUUGAUUUGUUCCCUCCAUCUGCCCUUGCAGGAAGAACUUGUCCUGUGUGCUUUGGAGCUGGAGCAGCUGCCCCAGCACUGGAACCUGGGCUGGGAGCAAGGGAAGGGAGGGGUAUGGAUUUGGGUCAAACAUCACCAGCCUGCUGAACCUGGGAGUGCAUUCGAGGGCUGGCACAUAGCUCUUGGGCAGGGUUGGAACUCUGAAGACCUGUAGCCAAAGCCCCAUCAAUUCCUGUCUGAAGCAUCACUUGGACUGAUGUUUUCUGUUAGACUGAAUCCAGCAGAUCCCACAUUUUUGCCAUGGCCCCACUGUGCUUCUUGGUUAGGUCACUUUAAAACUGACAAAGGUGCUUCUUUGGAGCAGGGGCUUUGUAUUCCUAAGAAUCCCAGAGCUCCUCUUGGUGCCUGCUGUAAGUGCAGAUGCCUGAGAGCACCUGGAAUGUGCUGGGAGGGAGGACUGAAGAUGAUCAGGAAGAGGGCAUAUUGUAGAUAGGCUUCUUUCAAGGCUGCUCAUGAUCUGUUUAGAGCUCCUUGGACUAUGGAAUAGCUGGGCUAGUGUGUUUUCCAGCAGGUUCUGGAGGCCCUUCAGGCUCUGGGAGACCAAGUGAAGACUGUUUUGUGGGAAGGUCCCCCUGCUAUGCUGAAGCAAGGAGUGGCCUCUCUCAAAGACACCUCUGGUAAACUGUCUAUUGCAGGAGCACCUUCAAAACAGUCUGCCUGGAUCAUUCUCAUCACCAUUCUUAAGCCACUCUAAAUUAAUUGUUACCUCUUCCCUAUCCUGCCUUUCACCCUCUACCAUCCAGUGCCAAGCCACAGGUCAGGAAAAGCCAAGAUGCCUCUGCUUCACCUGCUGCUGGGUACUUGGUGUUUACAGGUGUAGUCUUGGGAGGAAGCUUUUUUGAAUAUCCUGCAGAAUACCCUAAGAUUUCUGUACUUGGUGUGGAUGGUUUUGUUUUUUUAGCUGGAGUUACAUAACUGCUAAGUUGAAAGGAGUGGAGGGAGAGGAGAUCACUCCUUUGGAAACAGAAAUAAAUAUAAGCAAGGUGGGAAAUGAAGCCAAGAAGGCUUUUGGCACAUUGCUUCCAAGGCAGUAAAAUGGUCUGUUCCACAGUAAGCAAGUUCCUGAAAACAGCAGGGAAUGCUCUGGUGACGUUCAGUGCUGCUGCUGGAGGCUGGGGUUUACUGAUAACCCUGCUUGGAAGGCCAAGGAGUCAUUGUCCCAUUCUGAAUUCCAGACAGUGGGACAGAAGGGAGUAGGACCCAGUGCCAUAGGAACAGCGUGACUAAGCCAGUGCCUUCAGCUCUGUGGCCUAAAACUGAGUCUGCUCACUAGAUGUGGUGAAUAGAGCUGUGCUCUGGCCUCUCCCUUGUGUCCCUUUCCUAGUCUCAGAUCCUUGGAAUACCUUCAUGGCAGGUUCUGCAGGCUGGAGGGGCCGGGUGUGUGGGCGAACAGGUACUGCACCCCUGAAUCCAGACCUGCUACCCAUACCUGUGGCUAAGUGGUGGUCUGGGCUCUGAACUUGAAAGCUUAUGGGGACUCUUCGGGCCUGUGAACCAGAAAUGUGGUGUUUUGGAGCCUGCAGGGAAAGCAGACCAAGCUAUGAAGAUGUGGUGGUGGCUGGAAGCUUUGUAGGUCACAGGUCCUGGAGCCUCAGAUGUCCUUGGAGAAGGCUCUGGGUGCACGCCUGGGGUCUGUUGUGCUCUUUGAUUUCAGAGCUGUGGUUGCACAGCAGCUCUUUUGUCAAUGCCUGCCCGAUUCCUGAAAUGGAGUAUUCCAGAAAGUGUCGGGUUUGCUCUGGAUACCCCGUCCCUUGGGGCAUCCAUUGUUCAGGGAGUGCCUGUGAUACUUGAAAUUCUUAGGGAAUCAGAGCUGGGGACUCUUGGCCUCUGGGAGAACAGUGUGAGCAGUGGCACUGGGGACACAUGGCUCUGCUCUUCUGUGUGCCUCUGUCCUCAGAGAGGAAAGCUCUGUGCUCUGCAGGGUUAGUUCAGGUGGGAGCCCUCUGAGAUCCAGGCAGUGAGCAGAGCUUUCCAAUGCUUCCUAGCACCCUACCCAAAGGGAAAAAAAGCUUGGGAUAUUUGCUUAAUUGCCUGCUCUGAGUCUGAGGACUUCUCUUCCUCUCCAUAUCAGACUAGACUGUGCUACAACAGCUGAACCACUGUCAAAUUAAAUGCUAAUGGAGAGGGAGCAGCCUACUACAGCCUUUUCUGUAUUUGUUCAUGUGAUUUUUUUUUUUUUUUUAAUCUUAUGGAUAAUGCCAUGUUAAACAAUGAAAUAGAAUAUGGAGUAGCUUUCUCCAGCAUGCAAAGCUUUCUCUGUGCCUCAGCCAACAGAAGUUUCCCAGCAAUUUUGACUUUGAUUCUUCAGUAUUAGCAUAAUGUUGCCACAUCUUGGUUUGUACAUACUUAAGGGAGGAAAUAGCUUCAAUUGAAUCUGGCUAUUAAAACCUCUUGAUGAUUGUAGCUUUGAAGAUGUAAAUCUUGGGUGCUGGCUGCCUGACAGACACUGUCCAAGUGGAAAGAGUGUUGGCUAAAGGCUGGAAUUUUUCACUGUGAGAUGAAUCCAGCCUUCCCAUCUCCCAGGUGCAGAGACUGUUCACUGCUGUCUCCUCAGAUGCUGACACAUGUGCUUUCCCUGGCCCUAUGGCUACAGGGUGGGGUUUGUUUUCAGCUUACAAAGAAUCCCUCGUCAUCUGGGUGUGGGGAGAGUUUUUCAUAAUGUCCUGGGAAAACCACCUCUGCUGCUCCUGGUGGCAUCACUAAAUGCUUGCCCUUGCCUUAAACAGUGGAAUAUCUCCCUGUGAGCAAAGGAGAGUAGCAUCAGGUAAAAUUUGGGAUACAGUAACUGAAAACUAUGAUAAAAAUCCUGAUGCUGAAAAAAGUGAUGGAGAAAUUAAUUCUUACCUUAAGGGGGGUUUGUUGGCAGUGAUGGUGGCAAUUUCUCAGAAUUUUAGGUAGGCUAUAGGAUUGUUGGUUGCUUGUGUUCUUGGGGAUGGAGCAAUUCCCUGGGAGCCCUUUGUUUGUGCUGGGGACCUCAGCAAUUGCUGCCAUCAGCACAGGCCUGUUCCUGUUAUCAUGCUCAGUGCUGACAAGCUGCUGGCUGCCAUCAGUGUUUUCAGCACCCUCUUGGCCAGCUCUUCUGUGAACAGUGUUUAGUGACACAGUUAAAAUGAUGUCCCCUCCACCCCACUUGCAGGACUGUCCAUGAGUGGGAAUGUGCCAGUAAUAUCUCAGCAACUGGGUAGUGUUUGCAAAACCUUCCAUGGACCAGGCUGUGGGCUUGGUUGUCCCAAAGCUUUGAGUGUGAUUCUGCUGUAGGGGAGCAACUCCUGUUCCUGGAGCUGUCAAAAAGUCCUGGACAGAGUGGUUCCUGCUGGGCUGGGAGGAGUCCCUGAGCUGCGAGGGAGUCGUGGGGAGCCCCACAGAGCCACAGUGCUGUUCUGCCAUGCUGGACUGACACAUUCACGUCUCUGAGAUGGCAACACUUGGGUUAUUGCACUUACUGUUGUGCUCAAGGUACAUCUCACUGCCUGUGAGUGGAGAAAUUGAGAUGUGUCUCCUCUAACAUGUGAGGCAAAUGCUUGGGAAUUUUGGAUUUGGGGCUUCAGCAAUCAGCAUAGCCUAAAAUAGCCCGUUGGAGCUGCUGAGCUCUGACAUAGAUAAGAAGAGAUUUGGUUUGCCAUGGUUUCCAGGCAUUUCUGGCCAUAUGGAUUUUGACUGACUGUGACUUUGAGGAGGUGUGUUGAGAUUCCCUGGACUUCUGCAGUGGCAGGGAAGUGAGUUAAAAGCAUCCACAUAUGCCAUCCUCCAAGAUAUGUGGCAGUUCAUGAAGUGAAGUGAUGGUGAAGGGAGAGGAUAUUUCAUGCAGUGCAUCAUUAGCUGGUGGAACUUAAUUCUGUAGGAGAUUCUAGAAACUGCUAGCUUGGAGAAAAACUAAAAACACUUCCCUAAUUACACCAAACUUGGAUGAUUAAUGCUAGUACCCUCGGUGCACUUAGGAGUGGCUAGAGUGGUGGAUG